CGAGAAUAAAAUUAAAUAAGAAUCUAGUUGUAAACUGGAGUAAUAACUUACAGCUUUUAUUAGCCAUACAUUCAGAGAAUAAUAAUAAUUAUAAUAAUAAUAAUAAAUUAAGCAGAUAUUUAUAUCUGGUUUUUGCAGGCAAAUCUGGCUAACAUUGUUCAAUCACUAAAUGUAUGAAAAUUCCUGCAUUUUUUUGUCAUUUUCUAACAGCUGCGUCGACUAAAUCGGAAUAAUUCUUACUCCAAACAACAUUUAACACAAUUGUUUACGUACACAUACAGGAAAUGAUACUGAAUAUAAGAACAUAAAAAGAAAAACAAAA